rnacentral:rRNA from 1 species
AUUGAACGCUGGCGGAAUGCUUUACACAUGCAAGUCGAACGGCAGCACGGGGGCAACCCUGGUGGCGAGUGGCGAACGGGUGAGUAAUACAUCGGAACGUGCCCAAUCGUGGGGGAUAACGUAGCGAAAGCUACGCUAAUACCGCAUACGAUCUACGGAUGAAAGCGGGGGAUCGCAAGACCUCGCGCGAAUGGAGCAGCCGAUGGCAGAUUAGGUAGUUGGUGGGGUAAAGGCUCACCAAGCCAACGAUCUGUAGCUGGUCUGAGAGGACGACCAGCCACACUGGGACUGAGACACGGCCCAGACUCCUACGGGAGGCAGCAGUGGGGAAUUUUGGACAAUGAGCGAAAGCCUGAUCCAGCCAUUCCGCGUGCAGGAUGAAGGCCUUCGG